CUCAGGAUGAACGCUAGCUACAGGCUUAACACAUGCAAGUCGAGGGGAAACGACAUCGAAAGCUUGCUUUCGAUGGGCGUCGACCGGCGCACGGGUGAGUAACGCGUAUCCAACCUGCCCAUCACUUGGGGAUAACCUUGCGAAAGUAAGACUAAUACCCAAUGACGUCUCUAGAAGACAUCUGAAGGAGAUUAAAGAUUUAUCGGUGAUGGAUGGGGAUGCGUCUGAUUAGCUUGUUGGCGGGGUAACGGCCCACCAAGGCGACGAUCAGUAGGGGUUCUGAGAGGAAGGUCCCCCACAUUGGAACUGAGACACGGUCCAAACUCCUACGGGAGGCAGCAGUGAGGAAUAUUGGUCAAUGGGCGAGAGCCUGAACCAGCCAAGUAGCGUGCAGGAUGACGGCCCUAUGGGUUGUAAACUGCUUUUAUAAGGGAAUAAAGUGAGCCUCGUGAGGCUUUUUGCAUGUACCUUAUGAAUAAGGACCGGCUAAUUCCGUGCCAGCAGCCGCGGUAAUACGGAAGGUCCGGGCGUUAUCCGGAUUUAUUGGGUUUAAAGGGAGCGUAGGCCGGAGAUUAAGCGUGUUGUGAAAUGUAGACGCUCAACGUCUGCACUGCAGCGCGAACUGGUUUCCUUGAGUACGCACAAAGUGGGCGGAAUUCGUGGUGUAGCGGUGAAAUGCUUAGAUAUCACGAAGAACUCCGAUUGCGAAGGCAGCUCACUGGAGCGCAACUGACGCUGAAGCUCGAAAGUGCGGGUAUCGAACAGGAUUAGAUACCCUGGUAGUCCGCACGGUAAACGAUGGAUGCCCGCUGUUGGUCUGAAUAGGUCAGCGGCCAAGCGAAAGCAUUAAGCAUCCCACCUGGGGAGUACGCCGGCAACGGUGAAACUCAAAGGAAUUGACG
rnacentral:rRNA from 1 species